CUGUGAGUGGGCGGCGGCGGCGGCGCCUCCAGGAUCCAUAGUUUUUGACAUCAAAAACUGGUUGCAGCGGGCGCGGGCGGUGCUGGCGCACCUCCUAAUGGCGACAGGUGAGGGUUAUUCCCCCGUUGGUCAAAACUUGAUUUCCUUUUUGAUCCGAGAGACAACCGCGCGAGGAGUUGUAGAAUCAAUGGCAGGCUGUCCAUCUUCGUGGAGGAGUCAUGCAUCGCAGCUGUUCUAAUCAUGGCGUUGAAGCUUGACACGCCCUUCUGUAAGUUCUGCUGGUGGUUGACGUUAUUGGUUGUACGAAGCUUUCUUAUGCAGCAAUGUCAAUUCAUCUUUGCAGCGAAGUUUGCGACAAAUGAUAAUUUUCGAUUUGCGGCAAAUUAGUGGGAGGGGUCGGCUGAUGGUGGCAUGAGCCAUGGCCUGGAGAGAACGAGCGCUGUCCGCGUACCAGAUCUGCAAGGAAACCAUGAAGUGGUCGUCGUGGAGGAGCAAAACUUAGUACAGGUGCUGCGGGAUGUGGUGACACCGGAGUUCGAUCUGUCCGAAGCCUGCGGCAGACGGGGAAGACGAAGCUGGGCAAGACUUAGUAUAGGUGUCGUGGGAUGUGGUGUCGCCGGAGUUCGAUCUGUCCGACGCCGACGUGAAGCCUGCGGCAGACGGGGAAGACAAAGCUGACUACGGCGUCGAGCUUGUGGCAGAGCACGAUCCCGACACCCACCCUGCACAUGAUGGAAACUGUUGGUACUAGACCGUCCAAGUCCGUCUGUACCGAUGUGGUGUUAACGAGCCAGGACAUUUCCACCGUCUAGGACGUGGGCCAGGGGUCCAUUUAUUUAAGACGAAUACGCUAGGAAAUACUUGCAGAGGCGAGCAUCACGAGGUGCCUGCGCGGUCGAGAUUGCAGGAGCAUCUGGACCUGAGAGCCAAAUUGCAUUUCCGGUGACUAUCUCCCUAUAUUAACCCAUUCAUGUAAUCUUUCAUGAUCAUCUCCAACUUGGUAUCAGUUUUCCAGAAAUCCCAUGGCCGAGCAUGCCGCCUCCUCCUCCUCCUCUUUCGCUGCCCUGAGCUCCGGCUCCACGCCGGCCGCCGCCUCCUCCAAGGCGUCCAACGCCGCCCACGCUACCUCGGCCUCCCCCGUGGCGCCUACGCCGCCCUUCCUCUUUCAAGGUUCUUCUCCCGUCCCUGGAUCUCAGUUCACCCCCCUUUUCAUCUCACCUCCGCCGCCAUCCACGCCGACGCCAUCCACACCCCG
rnacentral:lncRNA from 1 species